CGCUGGAGCUGCAAAGAGCAGAGGUUAUGGGCGAGAGUGCCUCAGCUGCUAACGCCAGCUCUUGAUCCUAUCCUGGCUGCAGAGCGCUUUCCUGAGGUUGUUAAACGAGCACGAUUUGAAAGCAGUUCCUUAGAGGAAAUGCUGAGGACCAGCUUGAGGCAGUGCAGAGCAGGGAAUAAUUAAU
rnacentral:lncRNA from 1 species